rnacentral:rRNA from 1 species
AACGAACGCUGGCGGCAUGCCUAACACAUGCAAGUCGAACGAGAGCUUCGGCUCUAGUGGCGCACGGGUGCGUAACGCGUGGGAAUCUGCCCUUGGGUUCGGAAUAACAGUUGGAAACGACUGCUAAUACCGGAUGAUGACGUAAGUCCAAAGAUUUAUCGCCCUGGGAUGAGCCCGCGUCGGAUUAGCUAGUUGGUGGGGUAAAGGCCUACCAAGGCAACGAUCCGUAGCUGGUCUGAGAGGAUGAUCAGCCACACUGGGACUGAGACACGGCCCAGACUCCUACGGGAGGCAGCAGUGGGGAAUAUUGGACAAUGGGCGCAAGCCUGAUCCAGCAAUGCCGCGUGAGUGAUGAAGGCCUUAGGGUUGUAAAGCUCUUUUACCCGGGAAGAUAAUGACUGUACCGGGAGAAUAAGCCCCGGCUAACUCCGUGCCAGCAGCCGCAGUAA